rnacentral:rRNA from 1 species
AGUGAACGCUGGCGGUAGGCCUAACACAUGCAAGUCGAACGGCAGCACAGUAAGAGCUUGCUCUUACGGGUGGCGAGUGGCGGACGGGUGAGGAAUACAUCGGAAUCUACUUUUUCGUGGGGGAUAACGUAGGGAAACUUACGCUAAUAGCGCAUACGACCUACGGGUGAAAGCAGGGGAUAUUCGGACCUUUCGCGAUUGAAUGAGCCGGUGUCGGAUUAGCUAGUUGGCGGGGUAAAGGCCCACCAAGGCGACGAUCCGUAGCUGGUCUGAGAGGAUGAUCAGCCACACUGGAACUGAGACACGGUCCAGACUCCUACGGGAGGCAGCAGUGGGGAAUAUUGGACAAUGGGCGCAAGCCUGACCCAGCCAUACCGCGUGGGUGAAGAAGGCCUUCGGGUUGUAAAGCCCUUUUGUUGGGAAAGAAAAGCAGCAGGUUAAUACCCCGAUGUUCUGACGGUACCCAAAGAAUAAGCACCGGCUAACUUCGUG